rnacentral:rRNA from 1 species
UACGUAGGUGGCAAGCGUUGUCCGGAAUUACUGGGCGUAAAGCGUGCGCAGGCGGUUAUGUAAGACAGAUGUGAAAUGCCCGGGCUUAACCUGGGAACUGCAUUUGUGACUGCAUGGCUAGAGUUUGGCAGAGGGGGGUAGAAUUCCACGUGUAGCAGUGAAAUGCGUAGAUAUGUGGAGGAACACCGAUGGCGAAGGCAGCCCCCUGGGUCAAGACUGACGCUCAUGCACGAAAGCGUGGGGAGCAAACAGG